GGGUCAGUAUCCAAAUUGGGUGAAGGAAGCCGACUGUAAAUCGGUGACGCAAGAUACGCUGUUGGUUCAAGUCCAACCUGGCCCA
rnacentral:tRNA from 1 species